rnacentral:lncRNA from 1 species
GUUUCUUACUCAAUUUGAAUUGCUUUUGGCAGAUUUUUGAGCACUUUGUACCGAUUUGAAACAUUUUUUUCCGCUUUAAUAUUUAUUCACAGAGCAAUGGCAAAUAUUUUUGUGCUCAUUCAUAAAAUUUGACAUUAGCAUAUUGCAUUUCCAUUGCGUUAAUGUGACAAAAUGACAAAUGAAGUUGGUUUCGCUCUUCCAGUCGCAGUCGCAGUCGAAAGCCGUCUGUCUCCCUGCAUUUCUCCCACGCUUCCUUCCACCCACUCUGUCUCUGUGAGUCUGAGUCUGAGUCUGGUUUCCCGGGAAGUUGCACUUGAAUGUGCAUUUGCAUUUUCAUCGGAGCACUGGCAAAAAGCAAAACACUUUGACAAGCGUUUACAAACUCGCCAGCGCGACACAAACGCAGCAACAAGCCAAGGAGCUAUCAUGGAAACUUUGAAAUUGAUAAAUUGAUUUAUGCAAACAAAACAGAAAGAAUAAAUAUCAGAAGAUGGGGACAAAAAUCUUUAUAUCUGGUCCCCAUGGAUCCAUCCGCUCAGCACGAGCAUGAAAAAUGAUGAUGAGGGGUGCGAAAUGAAAAACAAAAACACACACAGCAACCGCAGGACACAGGGCGCAGGAGGCAGACACGGCACAAGUACGAGUACC